rnacentral:rRNA from 1 species
UACGAAGGGAGCUAGCGUUGUUCGGAAUCACUGGGCGUAAAGCGCACGUAGGCGGAUGUGUCAGUCAGGGGUGAAAUCCCGGAGCUCAACUUCGGAACUGCCUUUGAUACAGCACGUCUUGAGUCCGAUAGAGGUGGGUGGAAUUCCUAGUGUAGAGGUGAAAUUCGUAGAUAUUAGGAAGAACACCGAUGGCGAAGGCAGCUCACUGGGACGGUACUGACGCUGAGGCGCGAAAGCGUGGGGAGCAAACAGG